rnacentral:rRNA from 1 species
GACGAACGCUGGCGGCGUGCUUAACACAUGCAAGUCGAACGCCCGUAGCAAUACGGGAGUGGCAGACGGGUGAGUAACGCGUGGGAACGUGCCCUUCGGUUCGGAAUAACUCAGGGAAACUUGAGCUAAUACCGGAUACGUCCGUAAGGAGAAAGAUUUAUUGCCGAAGGAUCGGCCCGCGUCGGAUUAGCUAGUUGGUGGGGUAAUGGCCCACCAAGGCGACGAUCCGUAGCUGGUCUGAGAGGAUGAUCAGCCACACUGGGACUGAGACACGGCCCAGACUCCUACGGGAGGCAGCAGUGGGGAAUAUUGGACAAUGGGCGAAAGCCUGAUCCAGCCAUGCCGCGUGAGUGAAGAAGGCCUUAGGGUUUGUAAAACUCUUUUCGCGCGCGACGAUAAUGACGGUAGCGCGAGAAGAAGCUCCGGCUAACUUCGUGCCAGCCGCCGCCGUAACG